AAUUUCUGUUCAUUAUAUCAGUACAUAUAAAUCUUUUGCCUUUUACUAAAGAUUUCUGUGGAGGGAACAUAUGAUGAGUCUUUAAAUAAUUUUUUGUUGUAUGUUAAAGCUGCCAGUCA